UACGAAGGGGGCUAGCGUUGUUCGGAAUCACUGGGCGUAAAGGGCGCGUAGGCGGCUUUUCAAGUCGGGGGUGAAAGCCUGUGGCUCAACCACAGAAUUGCCUUCGAUACUGUUAGGCUUGAGACCGGAAGAGGUGAGUGGAACUGCGAGUGUAGGGGUGAAAUUCGUAGAUAUUCGCAAGAACACCAGUGGCGAAGGCGGCUCACUGGUCCGGUUCUGACGCUGAGGCGCGAAAGCGUGGGGAGCAAACAGG
rnacentral:rRNA from 1 species